rnacentral:rRNA from 1 species
UACGAAGGGGGCUAGCGUUGUUCGGAAUCACUGGGCGUAAAGCGCACGUAGGCGGACUUUCAAGUCAGGGGUGAAAUCCCGGGGCUCAACCUCGGAAUUGCCUUUGAUACUGUAGGUCUCGAGUCCGGAAGAGGUGGGUGGAAUUCCUAGUGUAGAGGUGAAAUUCGUAGAUAUUAGGAAGAACACCGGUGGCGAAGGCGGCCCACUGGUCCGGUACUGACGCUGAGGUGCGAAAGCGUGGGGAGCAAACGGG